rnacentral:rRNA from 1 species
UAGGGAAUCUUCGGCAAUGGACGAAAGUCUGACCGAGCAACGCCGCGUGAGUGAAGAAGGUUUUCGGAUCGUAAAACUCUGUUGGUAGAGAAGAACGAGGGUGAGAGUAACUGUUCACCCCUUGACGGUAUCUAACCAGAAAGCCACGGCUAACUACGUGCCAG